rnacentral:lncRNA from 1 species
GCUGUUAUGGUGUCCUUCACACAUUCCCUCUGGUUGUGUCCCGACCCGAGAUCUCAACGACCAGCCACUGCUCUUCGGUUUCAUGGAUGAGGAUACUUCAAAAGUGCUCUUUGCACUAGCUUCUAGGAUUAUGGUAUUGCUCUUUGUGUGGGUGGUUUGUCCACCACCAUUCUCCGCUCUAAGCAACGGUUUGUCUGGUUACUGAUUACCCAUCUUUAGUGGUUGUGAAUUUGCGGCGACGGAGCGGCAAGGGGAAAGUGGCGGAUGUAGCUUCUCAGAUUUAGGGUUCUUCCUUUGUGUUUGUAUUGGGCUAGAUGUUUGUUUUAGGGUUUUCCUUUAU